rnacentral:tRNA from 1 species
GUCGGGAUAGCUGCAGA